CAGUGGCUUAACCAGCCCUGGAAGUUCAGUCCACUGAAAGGUAGAGAGUUUUGAGCUUGGACAUUACAUACUUAGAAAAAAAUCAUGUUUUUACUAAUAAUAUAAUGCUAUGCAGUCAAAGCAUCUUUCAUAUGAGGAUCUCAAAGCAUUUGACCAACUUUAACUAACCAUUUCUCACAGUACCCCUAUCUGGUUGGUAACUAUUCAGUUUCCUCUUGGUUUUGGAAAUACUUCUCUGAAUACCUGUCUACGCUAGAGGCAUAGUACUUUAGUUGUGUGAUAGUACAAAACUGAUGUCCUAAACCUUUGCUUUUCCAUUAUAAUGUUUGCAUGUCUCCAGAAGCACAGCUUGCUAGCUGACUCUGGUCUGUAUUCCCAUUGCAGGUUUUUUCUCCUGUUUUUUUUUUCUUUAACAUUUCUCCCUCUGUACCAUUUUCUUCUUUUUUGAUCAGGGUUUUGUGGAAAGAAAUGGGGAAUUGUAACAGGUGGCAUAUUGCUUAGGGGCUGGAGGGCCUGUGGCUGGCCCACCCUGAUUACUAAACAGACACACCUGGGUUGGAUCAGGUAAUUCCCUACAAAGGGCAGCAGAUGGCUGCAGUAUAGAGUGAAGUGCAGGAAACUACAGGAAGUAAACAAGGUGUCUGUGGGAAAGAUCCUUAUAGCCGGGGGGGGGGGGGCAUUAGCUAGAGUUAGAAACAUAAGGCUCUAGCCAUAGAGGGAGUGGCCUGCCAUAGUAGAAAAGACUAGAGGCCUGGGAAUAGGGUGUUGCUGGUAGUAUAAGGAAACUGUGGCCAGAGAGCUGAGCUCCUGUCCCAAAGGACUAGGACUGGCAGCUUUGGGUGGAGCAGACUGGGCUGAAGGAAGAACUCCCUGUGUGGGAGAAGAACCUAGGGGUGCGGAUCUGUCUCUGUCUGCCAUGCUGUCUCCGCUCCCUCCAUUCGUGCUGCCUUGUAGAGUGUGAGGCUACAUUAACAACAAUGUGUUAAUCCUUGAGGGCUCAGCUGAAAGUUCAUCAUUUAGCAAAACCGGUACUACUUCAACACCUGAACAGAAAUUCACUAGUUGGCGAUGAUAAAUGAGUUACCUCUGAGAGGAGAUCAAGGUAGCAUAACCUUCAAGGAUGUAGAUCUUACGCUGAACAACUCAUAAGUAAGCUGAUGAAGAUUCCUGAAGUUUACUGCAGGACAAGAUCCAAAAUUCAAGGAUGCUCUAGAAACCAUUCUGAAAAAUGCAAAGUAUGCUUCUGCUGAAAUUCUUGGAUUAGAUAUUGAGAAGAUGAUGAAAGUUGAAAUGGCUGUAUUUAAGCCACCAAAAAAAAAGAAAUUGUAAAGAAUUUGAAGAAGCUCUAGGUCCUGCCAAGGAAUUAAAGGAAGUUUUCCCAUGUAGUUUUGGAAUGUUCAGUGGUCUUGUUCCUUGGAGCAUCAAUUGCAGCUUUGAGAAUUCCUGUUCUUGUUUGAAAAGAACUCUGUCACACUUGAAGGAUAAGCAUGGCCCAUUUGGGGGGAGGAGGAGAGAGUAAGUAACUUAGUCUUCUGUCCUGUGACUUGACUUCAGAAUGGCACCUGGAUGUCUUUGAGGAAGAACUUGAAUGCCAUUAUCCAAGAAGACUUCAGCUUUAGUUGUAUGAACAGUAUUUAAUUUAAACAACACACUCAUGUUAAGAUCUGUAUUUCUGAAUCUUUGACUUUUUUGAGUAAUUGAAUGUUAUGCUGAACAAUCACAAAUUGAAAUUUUGUUUUUUAAAAAAAGUGUUGUGACCUGAGACUUUCACUAAGUACAUGCAGUUUGCCUUCACGCACCCUCAUGUCAGUGUCUUAGUUACAGGGCCUCUGCUCGUGAGAAGUGCUGAGCUCCUUUGACACCCCCCGACCCCAGGGAGCUAGGCAUAUCUCUUGCAGGGAGCUGGCCAGCCUCAGAGAUGGCUUCUUACAUUCCCAGACAGUCAGGGGAGACUGGGAGCCCCCCUUAAUUUCAGUGGCUGAUCAGCCCUUAACAAGAUUAGGCCCAUGGUUCAUAAGUAGAAACAUUUUGAAUGUCAUAGACGGGCAGAAUGAAUAACUUUUAAGUUUGGUGCAUGUUGCUUGAUGAGUAAUGGCCAGCAGCGCUAAUCAUGAUGAAUAAAUAUUCUUAUGUGGCUGUUUUGCGGUGAUGCUGCAAUUUUUUCCAUUACCAAUAGAGGCUGUAAAAGAUGAGUAGCAGAGAUAAGCAGACAGUGAGACACUCCUCUCAGUGAAGCAUUCCCUACCAUUCAGCACUGCUGAUCUGGUUGAUAUGGGAGUCUACUGAUAUUUUAUUCUGCUAUUCAAUCUUUAAAUGGAUGCCAGAUAUUCAAAAAUACUUUCUGCAAGACAUUUGUUUCAUGCUGCAUCUACUGCUCGGAUUUUCUGGCUGCAGUGGGAUUGCAAGUCAAUAUUUUAGUUGGAAAAUGAAAAUAGCUGCCAUUCUACCAAUAGUCAGGUGUAGAAAAAUUUGUGAAUAACGGCACUACUAACUACCGCCUUUAUAUCACAGGUCCCAUUGUGGUUUUUAGCGCAUCAAAUAUUUUUUUGUUCACCCCUCUUCCUCCCCCCACAAUAACAUAAUUAUCAAAUUAAGUACCAAUUCUGUGAUACAUUUGUGGAGCAGCACCUUCCUCAGGUGAUUAGUCCCAAAUACUUUGAUGGGGCUAUGCAAGUAAAUAUAGUGCUAUUAAUCAGGGGGGAGAUUGGUGGCAAAAUCAUGCUGUUGGCAGUGUCAUCCUUCACGUUCUUCACUAUCACAGUGAAUGUUUGUAUAACUUCCAUUUUCUUGGGUUUUUUCAUUGUACCAUUGUGUCAUUUCAGGUGGACAGAGGGCUGGCCACCCCCUAGAUCCUCAAACAGGGCUGUGUGUGGUGGAGGGGUGUGUGUGGGUGGUUUUUUUUAAAAUACCUUGUCCACAGCCAGGAAGAUGGAAGGGUGGGUGCUGAGAAAUGUAAAUGUUCAUGAGCUGUGAAUUCCUCAAGCAAAUACAUAUCCUUAAAACAAAGGAUAAGCAAGCUUAUUCUACUUAUCAGACAGAUUUUUGCAAGCAUAAGAUCUCAUUAGCAGAACAAAAAUGGUAUCACAAGGCAUCUGGUGGUAUUGAGAGAUCCUCUCCCUACCAUGUCUUCUGUGAAAUGCACUGUAGUUAUGUUUUAAGCAUCGGGGGAAAUCCUUAUGGAAAUAGUACUAUUCCUUCAUUAAGAUGAAAUGUUUAGAUGGACUGGGGAAACCCUGUUAACUGUAAAAUUGACAUCAUUUUUGCUUGAACUCUGUGCCAGAGAGACUUCUACUUUUGGGGUCCAUAUGGGUGGCAAGCCAGUAAAAGCUGUUCAGAAUAGUGCUUCUUAAUGAUAUACAGCAGAGCUCUUUUCAUGAGCUGCAAUAAGUAAGAUGCAUCACUCUGAAGAUCUAUAUCUUUGACAAGUAAACUCCUUCUCCACUUUUAACUUUUUUUUUAUGUUAAGGUUGCAGUAGUGGGAUGCUUAAAGACAUGUAAACACUUUUAAAUUUUGUUUAAAAAAAAAAUUGAAGCUGUAAAAAUUAAAAUUUGGCAACUAUUCACUUAGUUGAUACUUUAAGCAAGGGCACUCUCUGGAAAUAUAAGUAGGAAUAUGAAAGACCUGCAGUUUACGUGGGGCCACAGCACACAAGAUGCAUAAGUAAAGACAUCAGAGGAAGAAUGAAAACGUUAGAUUUCUUCUCUGGACCAAGAGAAUAGUUUCAAUGGCCCGAUACCAACUACAUUUAGAAUUUUUCUGGAGUCCAAGGUACAGUUUGAGUGGAGGGGUCCUUCUUGCAAAUAUUUUGCAGACUACUCUUGGCCAAUCUGAUGAAGGACCUCUUUCUGAUUUGGCCAAACUGGACAAGAGUCCCUUUGUCCCUUAGCUGUUCAACAAGGUUUGCUAUUGAGCAACAAAAGGACUUGCUCUUCAACUUUCCUGUUCUGUAGAUCAGCAAGUACAAGCAACCAGUGCUGGGGAUUUACACAGAUACCAAAAGAUAUUUAUAAACUAUAACUUGAAUUGAUGCAACAUUCAGAGCAGCAAUUGACCUACAGGCAAGAGAAGAAAUUGCUGGGUGUGUUUUGGGGGGGAGUGGAGGAUGAUAGGGUUAGAUCAAGAAAACUGAAUUUACCGCUUUAAGUUCUGGGUGGAAUAAACUACUUGUUCCUACCUAAAAAACAAUACUUAUGAUACAAGCACAGAGACUUACUCAGCCAUAUUUAUUCAAAACCAUUCUCACCACUGGCUAGCGGUUUAAUUCACUUUUACAUCACUCCACUUCAGAAUUAAAUAAAAAAUAACACUCAUGAUCUUCAGUAGACACAUGCAAAGUUUACAUUAGGUUUGCCCUUUUAACAUAUUACUGUUUUAAUGACCAUAUGAAAAUACAGCUGUAUAGUUGUUUUUGUAUUAAAUUCCUUUCUGCUUGUAGUAACUGUAAUGCUGUAUAAUAAACAAAACGCACACGUUCUCUCUAAGGAGUCUGUUUAUGGGGUUCCCCUAAUACUUGUUCAG